AGUUUAUAUAAUUUAUAAAGAAUACCGCAUUGAAGCUGCGAAAGAGAUAGAUAUGUCUGUAAAC
rnacentral:tRNA from 2 species